rnacentral:rRNA from 1 species
GACGAACGCUAGCGACGUGCCUAAGAAAUGCAAGUCGAACGGGGGGAGCAAUCCCCUAGUGGCGAACGGUCGCGUAACACGUGGGCAACCUGCCUCGAAGCGGGGGACAACAAGGGGAAACUCUUGCUAAUACCGCAUGUGAAUUGCUCCGGCAUCGGAGAGGAUUCAAAGCCGCAAGGCACUUCGAGAUGGGCCCGCGGCCUAUCAGCUAGUUGGUGGGGUAACGGCCUACCAAGGCGACGACGGGUAGCUGGUCUGAGAGGACGAUCAGCCGGAU